GUUAACAAUCCGCUGUGCCCCAUCUACUUGACCACGUUCAGAGAAAGCUCGCAGCAGCUCCAUGUAUAACUCCUUCGUGGGUUUGAUGUCAUUCGAGUCCAUGUCUCGUAAGAUCAUCUCUCCUUGUUUCGGAAGCCCUGCCUUCACGUAAGCUGUGAUCAUCGAGCUGUAAGUAUUUAGAUCUGGUUUGAACCCGUGCUUCUUCAGAUUUUCGAAUUCG
rnacentral:misc_RNA from 1 species